rnacentral:rRNA from 1 species
UUCCUACGGGCGGCAGCAGUGGGGAAUUUUGGACAAUGGGCGCAAGCCUGAUCCAGCCAUGCCGCGUGAGUGAAGAAGGCCUUCGGGUUGUAAAGCUCUUUCGGACGGGAAGAAAUCGUGGUGGCGAAUACCUGCCAUGGAUGACGGUACCGUAAGAAGAAGCACCGGCUAACUACGUGCCAGCAGCCGCGGUAAUACGUAGGGUGCGAGCGUUAAUCGGAAUUACUGGGCGUAAAGCGUGCGCAGGCGGUUUUGUAAGACAGCUGUGAAAUCCCCGGGCUUAACCUGGGAACUGCGGUUGUGACUGCAAGGCUAGAGUAUGGCAGAGGGGGGUGGAAUUCCACGUGUAGCAGUGAAAUGCGUAGAGAUGUGGAGGAACACCGAUGGCGAAGGCAGCCCCCUGGGCCAAUACUGACGCUCAUGCACGAAAGCGUGGGGAGCAAACAGGAUUAGAUACCCCUGUAGUCA